UACGUAGGGGGCAAGCGUUAUCCGGAUUUACUGGGUGUAAAGGGAGCGUAGGCGGCCGUGCAAGUCAGAAGUGAAAGCCCGCAGCUCAACUGCGGGACUGCUUUUGAAACUGUAAGGCUUGAUUGCAGGAGAGGCAAGUGGAAUUCCUAGUGUAGCGGUGAAAUGCGUAGAUAUUAGGAGGAACACCAGUGGCGAAGGCGGCCUGCUGGACUGUAACUGACGUUGAGGCUCGAAAGCGUGGGGAGCAA
rnacentral:rRNA from 1 species